rnacentral:rRNA from 1 species
UAAUACGGAGGGUGCAAGCGUUAUCCGGAUUCACUGGGUUUAAAGGGUGUGUAGGCGGGCAAUUAAGUCAGUGGUGAAAUCUCCAGGCUCAACCUGGAAACUGCCAAUGAUACUAUUUGUCUUGAAUACUGUUGAGGUGGGCGGAAUAUGUCAUGUAGCGGUGAAAUGCAUAGAUAUGACAUAGAACACCAAUUGCGAAGGCAGCUCACUAAGCAGGCAUUGACGCUGAGGCACGAAAGCGUGGGGAUCAAACAGGAUUAGAUACCCUGGUAGUCCACGCCCUAAACGAUGAUUACUCGACAUACGCGAUACACAGUGUGUGUCUGAGCGAAAGCAUUAAGUAAUCCACCUGGGAAGUACGACCGCAAGGUUG